GAGUUUGAUCAUGGCUCAGAUUGAACGCUGGCGGCAGGCCUAACACAUGCAAGUCGAACGGUAACAGGAAACAGCUUGCUGUUUCGCUGACGAGUGGCGGACGGGUGAGUAAUGUCUGGGAAACUGCCUGAUGGAGGGGGAUAACUACUGGAAACGGUAGCUAAUACCGCAUAACGUCGCAAGACCAAAGAGGGGGACCUUCGGGCCUCUUGCCAUCAGAUGUGCCCAGAUGGGAUUAGCUAGUAGGUGGGGUAACGGCUCACCUAGGCGACGAUCCCUAGCUGGUCUGAGAGGAUGACCAGCCACACUGGAACUGAGACACGGUCCAGACUCCUACGGGAGGCAGCAGUGGGGAAUAUUGCACAAUGGGCGCAAGCCUGAUGCAGCCAUGCCGCGUGUAUGAAGAAGGCCUUCGGGUUGUAAAGUACUUUCAGCGGGGAGGAAGGGAGUAAAGUUAAUACCUUUGCUCAUUGACGUUACCCGCAGAAGAAGCACCGGCUAACUCCGUGCCAGCAGCCGCGGUAAUACGGAGGGUGCAAGCGUUAAUCGGAAUUACUGGGCGUAAAGCGCACGCAGGCGGUUUGUUAAGUCAGAUGUGAAAUCCCCGGGCUCAACCUGGGAACUGCAUCUGAUACUGGCAAGCUUGAGUCUCGUAGAGGGGGGUAGAAUUCCAGGUGUAGCGGUGAAAUGCGUAGAGAUCUGGAGGAAUACCCGUGGCGAAGGCGGCCCCCUGGACGAAGACUGACGCUCAGGUGCGAAAGCGUGGGGAGCAAACAGGAUUAGAUACCCUGGUAGUCCACGCCGUAAACGAUGUCGACUUGGAGGUUGUGCCCUUGAGGCGUGGCUUCCGGAGCUAACGCGUUAAGUCGACCGCCUGGGGAGUACGGCCGCAAGGUUAAAACUCAAAUGAAUUGACGGGGGCCCGCACAAGCGGUGGAGCAUGUGGUUUAAUUCGAUGCAACGCGAAGAACCUUACCUGGUCUUGACAUCCACGGAAGUUUUCAGAGAUGAGAAUGUGCCUUCGGGAACCGUGAGACAGGUGCUGCAUGGCUGUCGUCAGCUCGUGUUGUGAAAUGUUGGGUUAAGUCCCGCAACGAGCGCAACCCUUAUCCUUUGUUGCCAGCGGUCCGGCCGGGAACUCAAAGGAGACUGCCAGUGAUAAACUGGAGGAAGGUGGGGAUGACGUCAAGUCAUCAUGGCCCUUACGACCAGGGCUACACACGUGCUACAAUGGCGCAUACAAAGAGAAGCGACCUCGCGAGAGCAAGCGGACCUCAUAAAGUGCGUCGUAGUCCGGAUUGGAGUCUGCAACUCGACUCCAUGAAGUCGGAAUCGCUAGUAAUCGUGGAUCAGAAUGCCACGGUGAAUGCGUUCCCGGGCCUUGUACACACCGUCCGUCACACCAUGGGAGUGGGUUGCAAAAGAAGUAGGUAGCUUAACCUUCGGGAGGGCGCUUACCACUUUGUGAUUCAUGACUGGGGUGAAGUCGGAACAAGGUAACCGUAGGGGAACCUGCGGUUG
rnacentral:rRNA from 1 species